rnacentral:lncRNA from 10 species
CUCCAAGCCAGUUUCCUGCCUGAGUCUUCAUGCUUUUCUUGUUCUCAUUCAGCCUGAUACUACUGGAAAUGUUCGUGGAAACAUGUAACAGGCUGAAUAUGACCCCAAAAGACAUCUGGGUCUGGAUCGCUGGAGCCUGUGAAUCUUACGUCAUAUGGCAAUAGAAACUUUGCGGAUGUGAUUAAAUUAAGGAUAUUUGAAAUGGGAAAAUAUCCUGGCUUAUCCAGGCAAGCUCUGAAUGCAUCACAAAUGUCUGUAGGAGAGAGGCAGAGUGAAAUUUGACACAGAAAAAGGAGUAAGUAAUGACUCAAAUACCCUGUUAUGCUGUUGGCUUUGAGGAUGAAGGAAGGAAAUACAGGUCAAAAAAUGCAAAGAAUGCCCUUCUAGAAUCUGGAAAAUGCAAGGAAACUGAUUUUCUCUUACAUCAUGGCCCUGCCCAUACCUUAACUUAAGUGAGAAACUUGUUUAGGACUUUUGGCCUCUAGAACUAUAAGAUAAUAAAUUUUAAUUGUUUUAUGCCAAUAAGUUUGAAGUAAUUUGUUAUAGCAGC